CCCUCCGGCACGGCGCACACACACGCGUAGCCAAUCAGAACAGAGCAGGGCGGGCCGCCAACCAAUAGGAGGCGAGAAGGGCGGGGCCCGGGCAUCAAGGGGCGCGGCGCCGCCGCGGGGCCUUCUGGGAGUUGUCGUUCUGACGGCGGCGCUGACCCGGCUCCUCCCUUGCACAGGUGGUUAAAAGGUCAGUUGGAAUCGGGUUUGAAAAUUACCCACCAGACAAGAUACACCUGCAAAGACACCUGUGCCCAAUAGCCGUCACUCGCUUCAGAAGCUGCAGGAAACUGGUCUGGCGUGUGAUUAACCGAAGUGCUCUCGCAGAGCCCUCACAGAGCCCUCACGGAGCUGCACUGAACAGCAACGGAUUUCAGUGUUCAUAAAGUUAAUAAAACGCAUUAAAUACUUAGAUUAACGUAUUCUAUGAACCAGUAAUGCUAAAUACUAGCACAUCUGAUAUCAAAUACAUCACAAAUACAAGGGUUGCUGAAGUGUCACUUGAUAUCUUUAAGGUACAGCCUCGGUUUUCACCCGGAAUCCAGCGAUGGGACUCAAGCUGAACCAGCCCAGGUGGUCUUUGAGGUCGGCUCUGAAAGUAAACCUGACAUAGUUUGGCAUUGGAAUUGUGGGGUUUUGAACAGCUGGAGGUGGUGGAUGGGAGUCAGUUCACGAACUGGGCACAUCUCCAGCACCCAGUGCCCCCUUCCAGCUAGAUAUAUUCCAUGAUUCCAUGACACUGAACAACAAUCUACUUGCCCAUGGUCCUUGCUUUGCCACGGACACGCUCCCUCUCUUGCCACAGGAUCACCUUUGGAAAAGGAAAGGUCUCUGUCACCCUGUUCAGGGUUGGAAAACCAAAGGUUGCUUUUCAACAUUCGCUGGACGACGUCGAACAAACCAUCUCCCAACAGCUGCCUCGCUUUCCCUGUUUGCAAAUAAGGGAUAACAACACCUCUCCAGUCAAGUCCUUGUGCUAAAAACACCACAGAAGACCCAGGGGUGUUGUUGGAGAGGCAGGAAUUCCUGAGCCAGGGCAGGAACAGCCAUUAUUUGCAUCACUUGUAGCUGCUGGGUGUUUUCUGAACCAGCCUCGCUCCAUCCUGUCAAAGACACUGCUCUUGGCUGCUCUCCUGGAGGUGCUUCUUCAGCCCAAAGCUGCACAUUAAUGACUUAAUUGCAUGGAAAUUGCUGGAAUCUGUAGCAGGAACUGUGACCCAGGGAUGCUGAAAUCAGGCAUGUGACAACAAAGCCCUCUUACCUCACAAUCUCAAAGUUUUGCUGCCAAGAGGAGAAGGAACUGGAAUGAUCUGUACUCGGCCAGCGGCUCGACGGCCACGGCGGAGGAGAUUCCAAGCACCGGUUGCCUGGUUGGCAUUUUCUCCCAGCACCAUCCUUGAGAGAGCUCUCAAACAGCUCUGACAGUCCACAGAGAGAAGCCCCUGACAUAUGGAUGGCUUUGGCCUGCAGCAAAGAGUCUUUCAUUUCCAACUAUUAAAGGGGAGCCAUAAAUCCUGGGGUACCUCAGCCCUGCUCUUCCCACAGCCAGGGAACCUCCCAGACACACCAAAACCACCCAAAGCCAUUUGGAGAUGGAAUUCUGCCCAUUUGUCCUGAAAUCUUCACAUGUUUCCACGUUCUGUAAUUUCCAGUCCCACAAAACAAUCAUUAAAAAAAAAAGCCCCCAAAACCAAACCCUGGCAGGAAAUAGAGCUGUUGUUAAAACCUCCAUUCCUAAAUAUAAAUCAGCAAGACAAGGGUAUUUUCACUGAACUCUCCCAAAUAUAGGAGAAGAGCUGCUUUCUGAUUUGGGGCUGGGCAUUUAUUCACUGAGUAAAUACAGUUUGACCCCUAAAAAUAGAUGCAGCUUGACCCCUAAAAAUAAAUGCAGCUUGACCCUAAAAAACACUCCUAGUGGAGAAAAAUAAGGAAACUCAACCCUCUCAGUUUGGUGCUCAGUGGGAAGACAGAGGGAUUCCCAAUCCAUUUAUUCCCUUAAAAACACACAGUUCCCCCUCACAGAAAGUGGUUUAACAUCUAUACAAACCAGGCAUAAAAUCACAUCCAGGGAACAGCUCUAAGACCCCGAAAUAUUCCCAAGCAGCUUUUAUUUGGGAGCAAAGUGGCCACCAGCCAAGGCUUCAGCAAGAUCUGACACUGCUGAAAUGUUGGCUGAUAGUUUAUACCCAAAUAAAAAUGGCUUGCAAAUAUAUCAAGGGCACGUGAGCAGCUCUGGUGAUGCAGCCAGAGUGGGGUUUUCAUGGAGGCAGGGAAAGAAAAUGCAUCAGGAUGAAAAAAUCCUGAUGAUUAUUGUGCAAAAACCACGCUGGGGCAAAUUUCUUCUAAGUGGAACUGAAGAUUUUGGUGUCACUCUGGUACAAAUAGGCUUCCAGUCCUUGAGCCAAGACAAGAAGGGUUUGGAAA